rnacentral:misc_RNA from 1 species
CCGGUGGAGGGAGUGGAGACCGACCCGGCAAUGGAAAUGAGGGAAUCAAGAGAUGAUGAAGCCGCCAUUGGGAAAGGGAAGGUCCGGAAUGAUGAUCCAAGUAAAGACUUCAAGCUCCGACGACAGAAAUGGAGACGACGCGAUGCAUACAGCAACGGAUAUGAAAAGAUGUGCGUUGGAGUUUGAUUAGGGUUUUAGAAGCUC